rnacentral:rRNA from 1 species
UGACCCCAGGUCAGGC